GAUGAACGCUGGCGGCGUGCCUAAUACAUGCAAGUCGAGCGAACGGACGAGAAGCUUGCUUCUCUGAUGUUAGCGGCGGACGGGUGAGUAACACGUGGAUAACCUACCUAUAAGACUGGGAUAACUUCGGGAAACCGUAGCUAAUACCGGAUAAUAUUUUGAACCGCAUGGUUCAAAAGUGAAAGACGGUCUUGCUGUCACUUAUAGAUGGAUCCGCGCUGCAUUAGCUAGUUGGUAAGGUAACGGCUUACCAAGGCAACGAUGCAUAGCCGACCUGAGAGGGUGAUCGGCCACACUGGAACUGAGACACGGUCCAGACUCCUACGGGAGGCAGCAGUAGGGAAUCUUCCGCAAUGGGCGAAAGCCUGACGGAGCAACGCCGCGUGAGUGAUGUAGGUCUUCGGAUCGUAAAACUCUGUUACUAGGGAAGAACAUAUGUGUAAGUAACUGUGCACAUCUUGACGGUACCUAAUCAGAAAGCCACGGCUAACUACGUG
rnacentral:rRNA from 1 species